CACAAAGCAAGUUAAUCGACGUGGUUCUUGGGUCUCUGAGGAGGUUUCAGGACCUUGUCAAAGCAUUUGAUGAUAAAAAAUUAAUAAACGUAAAAUUAGAUUUCAACAGCCUCAAUCUUCUAUCUAAUGUUUGGAAGCACCUACUAAAAAUGCGAUAACUUUUUGAGAGAAAUACAAUUUUUCGAUGAAAAGAACUUGAUGAAUAAUAUCCGGGCUCCGCACUAAGCGAAGCAAUCAUAAUUACAAAAGUCUGUGCACUAAGGGGAAUUGCCGAGCCUAAGGUGUAUUUGGAAGCAAAAUAACAAUCACAUUUUAAUCGCUGCAUUACUUUGGCAGCAUUUAGGUUGAAUAAUAAUGCGGAAUAAUGAAAUAAAAUGUUCGGCAGCGCCAGAACUUGUAACUUCCUUAGUUGCUGAAUAAUUAUUUAAGCCCUACACAUGAGCGCAUACCUACAUAUAUGUACAUACGUACUAUCUCGAAAAAUUCACUACACUAAAAAGCUUUUGCACCUAGUUUGCAAGUCAGUGUUAUUUUGAGCCUACUGCAGUGGGUUAUUCCGGCCGAGAUCGUGAAAAAUUAAAAAAAAAAAAAAACAACAACUAAUUGUUACUAUUUUGCAUAACAAUAACUAAUUUUAACUGCAUAAGCGCCAUGCCUUACAACAUUGUAAAUAUUUGUGAAGUAUAUGUAUAAGGUAUUGACCAGUUUUGAGCCACUAAUUCGUUCUUUGUCAUAAGGACUGAUCAAUCAAUAGUGUUCAACUGGGAGUUAAAUAAUUACAAAUAAAAAAUAUUGCCUUAAAUAAUCACAUUUCAA